rnacentral:lncRNA from 1 species
UUUUUUUUUUUUUGGUCUUUUUAGGGCUGUACAUGCUGCAUAUGGAGGGUCCCAGGCUAGGGGUCGAAUUGGAGCUACCACUGCUGGCCUACAAUCACAGCCACAGCAACGAGAGAUCCUAGUUGUAUUUGUGACCUACACCACAGCUCAAGGCAGAGCUGGAUCCUUAACCCACUGAGCAAGGUCAGGGAUCAAACCCACGUCCUCAUGGAUACUAGUCAGGCUGUGCACCACUGAGCCACAACAGAACUCCAAACCUCACCUUUAAAUGGAAAGCAAUCACCCUAAGCAAGAGAGAGAAAAUGCUAACACGCAUUAUUCAAACAUGCAGUAAAGCUUUUAUUACAGCAGAGUUUUAGAUUUACGGCAAAGCUACAAGAACGUCAGCGCGUCCCCCUCUUCUCCCAUCUUCCAUGAGUCUGGUGCUUCUUGACUGCUCAUCGGGUGACAGUGACACAUUGCUCUUAACUCCUAUCUUCUUGAUCUGGAUUUCCCUCAUUUUCCCUUAAUGUCUGUUAGUGGCACUGGGCUCUGCCGAGGGUAUCACAGAACGUGUACUGACCACAUCUCCUCUGGCUCCUCUAGGCUCUGACCAUGUCUCAGACUGCCUCUGUCCUCGAGGAUCUCGAGAGCUGAGGGAUAGUGGUCAGGUAUUUUCUACAAUGCGUUUCGAUUUUGUUUUUCCAGUGUUUUUCUCAUGAUUCAAUUGGAGUUACAAAGUCCUUGAGGGACCACACAAGUCAAGUGCCCCUCUCAUGACAUCACAUGAAGGUUACGGACAGGUACCCAUGACAUAUCCCAGUUCAUACUGAUCUUGAUCAUGGGGCCGAUGAAGUGUUUAUCAGCUAAGAUCAUUCAUCUUUUCCUUCUGAAGAGUUUUUUCCUUUUUCGGGUCUUUGCUUUUUAAGAGCUGCGCUGUGGCAGAUGGAAGCUCCCAGGUUACGGGUUGAAAUGGAGCUACAGCUGCCAGCCUACAUCACAAUCACAGCAACAUGGGGUCCCUCCCAUGUCCAGGACCUACACCACAGCUCAGCUCAUGACAAUGCCAGAUCAUUAACCGCUGGACGAGGCCAGGGAUUGAACCCAGGUCCUCAUGGAUACUAGUUGGGUUUCUUUCCACUGAGCCACAGUGGGAACUCCUGAGGAGUAUUUUUAACAAUCUAAGAUUCAAAUAUUAAACUUCAGAGCAUCUAAAUCCUAGUGAAGGGUAUUAACCUACACGUACAUGUGAGCUGUCCUUUGUGGAAGUGCCUCCAGGUUUGCUACAGGGGUGGGGAAGCACCUGAGCAGGAGAAAGGCAGAGAAACCCCAGCUCUCCCAUGAACAGGGCUUUUGUGUGACCAAAAGAAUACAAGCCUCUGGGGUUGAACAGGUAUCCUUGCUGAAGGUAGAAUCAUGAAUUGAAGUGGACAGAGUCGAUAUUAUUUGGGAAGCAAGGGAAGUCAUUGUAACACCAAGACUGUAAAUACACAACGUCAAAUGGCAUCCAUGUUUGCUUCUCUUUCCUGCAACAGCCUGGAGAGGGCUGGGAGGUUAGCGUUGCCAGGCUCAACACAUAGCUCGGCACCUGUGAGUCGAGACCAACGGCUCCAUGUGUCAACAGUGCUAAGCUAACAGGAAGCAAGGAAGAACCCAAGAAAUUGUCUUUCCGUCUCAAGAAUCAGAGGCAGAGACUGUUCCUGUCCCUGCCAUUCUAUUCAGUAACAUAACCACAGAUCACGUGGGGCCAAGCAGCAUGUAACAGGAUGCCCAUCUGCUUGCUAAAGCCCAGUUAGGUUUAUGCAAAUAAAGAAGAAAACGGGUCCUGGGAGAAUCAACACUGCUCACCACGACAUCUUUACCUGAACACCUGGUGUCAGGUUGUUUGAAUACCUGAUGUCACGUUCAAAUCAACUCUUCAAAUAAAAAGACAACAUCUGGACCAACACUGCAAAUGCAAUCAGCAUCUCUGAGUUUCCUCAUCUAUAUCAUUCUCCAAGUCCCCCCCAUGCAUCUCCAACCAAGUGAGUACAAAGGGGCUGAAAGCUCCUGAAAAAUUCGGGGGGGGGGCCUCAUCUCGCUCAUCUUCCCCGGAUGCAACGUUAAUUUUUGUUUCAAUAUUUCAGUAGGGAAGCCGGGCUUCAAUUCUUCCUACCACACAAAUCCUCACUCCAUAGACUGUGGAGACACAGGAGGCAACUCUGUUUCUGUUCUGUGUCCUCACUCAGGACUUGAGCAAAUGAGCUCCCACCCCUCCCAGCCUAUUUGUACCUGGCUCCCAGAAUCGCCCACUGACUGGGAGCAUCGUGUGCACUCUGGGUCCCGGCGGUUCCCAUCAGCUCAGAGGCAGUGUUAAGGAUGACCCAGGAUGCACUGCACUCUCUUCUGGUGGUCUGCGGACACCCAGGGAAAGGCUGCCAGCCCGCCAGAGGAAAGCCAGAGGAAGAUGUGCACGUCCACACGUGCCUCAUUUCAGGCACCUGGCCUGGGUCCACGGCAUCCCCUUCAUGCAAAGGUCGCGGGGAUGACAGAGAGACUAGGACGCCUUCUCUGCUGAACCUGGCUUCUGGUUCCCAGUCCAACUGGGCUGCAUGUGCCCAGAUCACGCUUGAUGCUAGAAAGGCUCCUAGACACUCCAGCACAAAGCAAAUGCCAAGAGCAUGAGAUGGACACUAAACCAUCCACGGACCCCAUAGGAGGCCUGGCAAACAACCAGCAACACUGAAAAUUCAGAGAGCUCAUCCUUACACCCUGAGGCAGGUUGCAGCCUUCUGACCUAACAGUGCCGAUUCCUCAUGGUAUACCCAGCAAAAGCACUCAUGUGAUAGCCAGCUAAAGUGACUCGAGCCCAGACUCCACUACUGAGAGCAGCCUAAUAAAACAUUCCGGAGAUAAGACACAGCUCUGCUUGAGCCUGUGCAUCCCAUGGGAACACCCUCCUGGAGCAAGAACAAACAUUAUCAAUAAUCCUGCAUUCUCUGAGCAUCCUAGAGUGGCUUUUAUGGGUAUUACACUUAAACCACAUAAAUUCAAUCCAUGCUUCCUCAUUUAUCCAUCUAAGUGACAAAUAAGGGAAAAUAUACAGGAAAACAUUCAUAAUUUUCUGACUUAAGGACAAGGUGCAAUUAAUGAUAACUGGUUCAAUACCCCCAAGUUAACUUACUUUCAGAAUGAAAACAAAUAAGUUAGCAGAGUCUUAAAUUGCGAAGGAUUCCGAAAUGAAGAUGCGUAUCUUGAGGAUUUGCUGAAUUUAUUGAAACAUGUUUUGGCCAUCUUGACAAUGUAUCCCCUUACUUUUAACCUAAUUAGAAAUCAACAACUUCAUUUAUUUGCUUGUCCGGGAGAAGACAUGCAGAGGGCUUUAUUCUGUUACAUAGGAAACAUUAUUUUUAGAAAACAAACACCAAAAUUAUUUCCUCUGUGUGCGUAGGGCGAAAUAUUCAAAUGCAACCUGUGCCAUUGCCGACAUAAGCGACACACUGACAGAUUCAAUUUCGUUUUGAGAGCUGCUCCGGCAUUGACAGAAUAUUAAGCAUGUCCCUGCUAGAGAGCUGCACCAAUUUUUUAAUUUUUCUCUAUCGUGAAACUCCAACAAAACAGCUUGCCACGUCAACACCAUCCAGCUGUUCAAGGUUGAGGGAUUACGCCCAGAAAUUCUGGUUCAUGGGGCACUAACAUCAAGAGCAGACAGACCAAGGAACUGGUGAGAGCUGACUUGGAAGCACUGAUGACUUCUCAAAGGGAGCGAGGGUGGAGCCCUCACAAAUAAGUAGCUUCUACGCUAGGUGAACACAUGGGCACAAGCCUGUGCCAUCAACAGGUGCAUUAGAGAGGAAAACUUAGCCUAGGAUGUCCCUGAAGCUCCUGGGGAGACCUGUGCUUCUCACUGGAACAGAGAUCAAAGCCUUAGCUUACUCCAGGCUUCUCCAGUUGGGUUUCACUCAGCUGGAACCACAGGUUUCCUCAUUAGCACACAGCUAACUCACUCAGGCAAUGAACCCCUUUCCUGUGGAUGUGUGGAACAGGACAUCAAGCCCACCUGUUCGUGACAGUGGCGUUGUGUUUCGAAGGAAAGCUUCUCUGGUAUAUAAGCUAGAGCAAGGCACCUUCAGACCAUACACACACAGAAUCUGCGAGGAAAGCUGGAGUGUUCUGUCUGGCAGUCCAACUCUGCUGAUCUCAAGAGCUCUCUGAGGACCUUGGGGCAGUAGCUCCUGCCUGGGCCAAGACAACUUUCUACCAGCAGUGGUGGAAACCAUGCAGCAGCCCCCAAAAGGAGAUCAGCUUAGCCACCUGCUUCACCUGCUAGCAAGCUGCUCCAGCAAAGAGAGGUUCUCGCCUUGCACCCACUAGCACCCAGCCAAGGCUCUCGGUUGGCCAAGUCAACUCCUCCAAGAACCAACUACAGAAAGGUGCCCCUCAACUAAAUCUGGACUCCAUCCUUUCAUUCCCCCGCCCCCAAAGUUGCCUGGAAAAACAGGGUGAUGCGUCUAUUAUUGGUUUGGAGUGUGCUUUUACUGGCUUAUUAAGAGACAUUAUCUUGUAUGCUAUUGGCUUGUGAAAUCAUUCUACUUUCUGCAGUGAACCUGUGUUAAAUAAAUUAUUGACAAUCCCAGUCUCUGAGAAAAACCUGCUGCCAGGACACAAUACCCUUCUAAAGAGCAUGGUUUUCUUUUGUGAUUAAAUGUCUGCUAUCCAUAAAAACUGACCUUGGGGAGCCUAAGACAAUUUUUCUUCCUAGACUUCAGUUAUGGGAACAGAAACGAUGUCUUCCAUGAGUCUCUCGUGGGUUAAGGCCAGGAAACUGACUGCACUGAUACCGGCUGAUAUAAACCUCGAGAAUGAUUUUAAUCGUAACUCUGAAGGUUUUUACCUCUUUCAGAAGUAAACAUUAAAGGAACAAGUUAUUAUGUACAAUUUUCCUGUUUAAAUCUUAAUUAGAAAAAAAUGUCCUUAUGUAUUAUUAUUAUAAACAUGAAGGACAGAUACGUCUUUCUGGCUUGCCGUACUGUGACAUCAAAUUGCAUGUGAUUAUCCCUCCCCUGUAUCCUCAUGGGACUCCUAUUAAGACAACUGAAUUUACUAAUUCCAAGACAGUAGCUUUUUAAUUUAACUUACCACCAGGUUGGAAUCCACAGCCACCAGAUAGCACUGACAUAGGAGGAAAAAUUCAAUGACUUUUUUCUGUCUAAAUAAAUGCCCCUCGGCAGCAAGGGGUCAAUGGUGCCUGGCCUCUUUCAGUGGUAUUGAUACAUCGGUGGCUGAAUUUUAAAUUGUUCCACUUUUAACAGGGUUAUAUUGUUAAACUACAAGCAACAAGGCUUUGUUAACAAACUGGUGGCAGGAGUUCCCAUCAUGGCACAGCGGAAGCAAAUCCGACUAGGAACCAUCAGGUUGCAGGUUCAAUCCCUGGCCUCACUCAGUGGGUUAAGGAUCCGGUGUUGCCAUGAGCUGUGGUGUAGGU